UCCGUAGGCGGUGCGGCAAGUCGGAAGUGAAAUCUCUGGGCUUAACUCAGAGGCUGCUUCCGAAACUGCCGUGCUCGAGUGUGAGAGAGGCGAGUGGAAUUACGGGUGUAGCGGUGAAAUGCGUAGAUAUCCGUAGGAACAUCCGAGGCGAAAGCGGCUCGCUGGAUCACAACUGACGCUGAGGGACGAAAGCUAGGGGAGCAAACAGGAUUAGAUACCCUGGUAGUCCUAGCCCUAAACCAUCAGGACUUGGGGUUUGCCCUGUACGGGGCAAGUCCCGGAGCUAACGCGUUAAGUCCUGCGCCUGGGGGAGUACGGUCGCAAGGCUGAA
rnacentral:rRNA from 1 species